CAAAUGCUUUAAAUAAAUUUUUAAUCCUCAAAGAGCUCUAUUCUCAGGUGAGGAAGCUUGAGUUGUAGAGAUGUUGAGUAAUUUGCCCUGGGUCACCUGGAAGACCAGAUCCCCAACCCGGGCGCCCGACCGCGCUCCUUGCACCGCCCUGGCCAGGCUUCAUACCCGGUGAGCAGCUGAAGGAAUGAAAAAAAAAACACAGGCUGGCCCGGAUCGGGAAACCUUAUAAGGGCCUCUUCUGUUUUGUUUUGAAGGCUCAACCACAGGAAUUACCUCUUGGAGUCUCCCCACAAGUACAGUGUUGCCGACCUCCAGCAGAUCCUGGACGGAGUGUAUGAAGGGUUCCUCAACACCCUGAUUGGAUUUGCCUCCCAGACGUCUACCACGUGUGACCUGUGCACCCAGCGUGGCUUCAUCUGCCAGAUCUGCCAUCACCACAAUCAUCUUCCCCUUCGAGUUUGACACCACAGUCAGGUGUGGCGAGUGCAAGACCGUCUUCCCCCAGAGCUGCCAGGCCGUGGUGAAGAAGGGCUGCCCCCGCUGUGCCCGCCGGCGCAAGUACCAAGAACAGAGCACUCUCACCUAAGUCAGCGAGCUGUCCCCACCAAGGCUGCGGGGUGGCGGCUCGGCUCACCCAUCUCAGCUGGGUUUGGCGUCAGUCCGGAUCCUCUCAAGGUGUCACAGCUGUCUCCCCUGUCACGAAGACUCCGAUGUGACCAGAGCACGAGCCUACCAGGGAAGCCCUCGAUGAUGUCACCCAGUCCCUCUACCACCUGUCUGCUCCCGGACUGGGGAAUCAUCAGAUGCCCCCAUUCCAGGGGAUGCAGGGAGGGGGAACUUUGCACUAAUCAGGCCCCAGCUCACCUCACAGACAUGGCACAUCCAUCAGGGCUGUUCAACACUGUGGAACAAGACUUGGGGCGAUCUUCAAUUCCACAUUCUGAUUAAAAGGUCUAGUUUUUUUAAGGCAGGUUUUUUUUUCCCCUUCUAUUUCAACGGAAAAUAUUUUUUUAUUCUUGACCCUACACAAGUCACCCAAGAAAUCCGGCCUUCUCAUGCUGAGCAAAUGUGUGGGAACACUUGGCCCGCAGGCAGGCGGGCGGCUGGACAGGCAGGCCACUGCUGGGCCAGGGCCUGCCAGCUGGAUGGGUGCCUUUCCUUCUCCUACACGGCGUCACUGCCCACGGCUCAAGUACGACGUGCCAAACUGCCCGGG
rnacentral:lncRNA from 1 species